AGAGAAUGUCUCCUUUCCAAAUUGGAGCAGCUGCUGCUACUCCCUCUAAAAGAGCUCAACGGCAGAGACAGACUGAGCGCACUGCUGUGCCUUUUCUCCAGACGUCUAAAUCCUGGGCGCCUUCGAAGGAGACCAGACUUCACCUUGGGGACAACUUUGGGGGUCGCCAAAAAGUACCCAGAACGUGAGAUUUCCCCUCUGCAGAACCAGGAGGACGCCAGCGGUCUGUCGGUCAGACACACGUGGUAAACCACUCUCGGGCGCUCAGGAAACUGUGUGGGGACAACGGAUAGAAGACAGAAGGCGUUCGUUGGACGGCGAGGAAGUUGUCUGACAUCCAGGAAGCAGGCAGACGCCCGGUCAGGAAGGCAAGAGGAGCGGCAAGGAGACGUGCGGCCGACAGCAGCCCCGCAUGGGGACAGAGCAGGGAGGGGGACAGAGCAGGGAGGAGGCCUGAGGUUCAGCUGCGCGAAGCGAGGCCCGCCAGACCCUAACGGACGGGAGCCGGGCCUCCUUGGGGACCGCGAGCUCAGGAAAGAUGGCACGUUCGUGUCUGCAGUGCUUUGGAGAGGCAGACGCAUUCAUCCAGUCAAUCAACAAACGCCGCUGCCGACUGCUCAGCGGGCACCCGAGCAGGAGGCGGGACUGAACUGUGACCCGCUCUCAUCAAAGCCUCCCUCAGGGUCCCAGGGCUGCGAACAUCAGGGCGCCCAGGCCUGUCCUCCGGGCACUUCAGGAACAUUGAGGCUCUUAGUCUGUUUGCUUGGCUCUAACGGACGACGCGGCGGGGGCUUAGACGACAAGUGUGUUCCUCACAGUUCCGGGCGCUGGACGUGCACGGCCGACAGGCCAGCGCGGGGUCCGAGGAGGGCCCUCUUCCGGUUCACAGACAGCGAGUCCCGCCUGGAGGAAGGGUGCGGGCUCCCCGGCUCUCUACACGGGCGCCGAGCCCGUCCGGGGCUCCACCCUCAGGGCUCCUCGCCUGCUGCCACCAUCGCACAGGAGUCAGGGUCCCUCCCAUGCAUCUGGGGACACCCGGGCCGCGCAGGCAGCUCUGCUGUGUGCGCUCACCGCCUCUCUGACACCCACAGGUGUCGCGUUCGGUGACCAGGCUGGGCGUGAACACCAAGUGGAAAUCCAGUGACUGAGGGAGCACCUGGCCGCUGGGAGGUGUCUCCAGACCGCGGCACACGGCGUCGCACGAGCCGGCCUGUGCCAGAGCCGCCCGGCGACUCCUGCCGAAUCGGGCCAGGGACGGAAGCAGAGCGACCCCAGCAGCGCACAGCCCGAGGUGGUGUCGGAAGCGCUCGGAACCUGACCUUCUACCACCGCGUUUUCACCUGCUCGCAUCCGGAACCGGGGAUGCUCCUGACGCGGGCGCAGGAAGAGGCCUCAGAGGCGGGCAGGUGUUUAAAGAUGACGUCGCAGGAGGUUCUGCCGGGCUGUGGGCUGAGGGGGUGUGUGUCCCUGUGACCCCGCGAAAUCAGUGUGCUUCAGCACCAGGGAGGUCCCGCCGAGCCUCCAGCCCUGUCCUGAACCCCAGUUCAGUCCAUGAGUUCAAGACCCAGCACACGAGAUGCUACACGUCUGCAAGACGUAGACGCUUCCUAGUCCACGGCCUGCGCUUGAGGGAGGGGCAGUUUUCAGAUGUCCUGCAAAUACGGAGCAUCUCUGGGGGACAGUGUGCAGGGCCAGCCCCUCAGAGCAGCCACCAGGUCUACCUCUUACCCCGCCCCCCAGCCCACCUCGCCUGCCUCCACUGCCCAGCGUAUGUAUCAGCUGGCUUGUCUUCAGCCAGCACCACGCCUGCCCCGGGGCGUGAACCGCAGAGACGCAGCCUUCUUCGUCCUCCGCAUCUCCAACAACUGCAGCAGGUCUUGGCCUGUGGCAGGACUCCGGUAACUACUGCUGAGCGGAUGCAUGAAUAUUCACAUUGAUGACAGUGGGAGAGAACAAACGAGCAGCAAAACCUAAGAAACUAAAUUAAUUUUCACUUGGAAUUCUUGAAAUUUUCACUUGGAAUUCUUGAAUUUGACUUUCUAUAUUCUGUUACAAUGUUGAGAACGUUGCAAAGGAUAAAUCCUGGAUGUCAGUAACCCUUAAUCCGAAAGGUGACCCUUCCCUGAAAGGCUCUCAGGCCAAGGCGGCAGAGGUGACACUUUCAGGCGCACCCCCCGCCCCCACCUCCAGGCUCUGCUCAUCUCAGAAAGACACGCGAGCACAGUCUGGAAGCCAAACUCAAUACUUCUCCUGACGACGUAAGGAGACACUCACCAACAGGAGAGCUUCCAGAAGCUUCCCCAGGCCACUCGGCCUUAGAAACUCCCACCCUGAGGGCCCUGAGACUUCCGGGACAUUGCUGGACCUGUGACCGCAAGCAGGUGCUAAUGGCCCUGUGACCAUGAAGCCACCAGAAAGCUGCUGGCAGGUGACGGACCCUCGUCUGGGUCCUGGGUGAAGACUCGCUGUGUGUCACAGUGGUGGGUUCUCACGUUUGCUGCAUGUAGAAAUCCAGCCGCCUCACUGAGGUGCACCAGGGUUAUGGGUUGGUUCUGGUGGGAAACGCUUUGUGGGGGAGGAAGAGUGGAAAGAUGACCACGGGAAGCCUCUGAGCAUGGCUGGUGCUCUGUGUGUCUCGUUAUUGUCCCAUGUUCCCCCCAGAGCAACACCUGAUGAAGGGCUUGGGGAGGCCCAGGGUGCGUUUGUAAGCAGCGCCCCCGCGGAUGCGAUUGACGGGUGGGGUCAGACGAGGGGAGCCACCACCCCCGAGUCCUCUCUGGGUUUCCACAAAGCAGCGCCCGUGGCAAAACAGGAAGCAGGGAAGAUGAAGGCGGGCGAGGGGAGCCAGCGCCCUUCCCCCCGAAAGGCAGCCGAACAACGGCCCCCAGGACCUCAUGGUCUGCGCGGUUGGUAGGAGGCGAUCCGGGGAACGGACACGGGAACAGAAACGGGCCAACCCCAGCCAGCAGCGAGGGGCCGCCGUUGCGGGCGUGGUGUUCAGCAGGGGCGCGGCCCGUCCACAGCGCGCUCGGCGGCCAGGUUUGCUGGGGCUGGUGCAGGAGCACUGAGCCCGCUGUAAGGGUCUCCCGCCCCCACCCUGUGUCCCAGGCCGCAACGUGGAGGGACCACGGCCCAGCCACCCCGCCAAAGCUCACAGAACAAUUGUCUGCCCUCCUGAGGCGGGAGAGGGCCUCAGGGCUGCUGCUGUGACCCUGGUAGUGACUCUCUAGGGUAGACCCUGGAAGUUUCCAGAACAACAGAAAGUCAGGGGCGCCAUCAUGGAGUCACUUCCCUGGGGGAGUGGUCUGCUGUGUGGCUGUCACAGAUGACCGUGGCCCUGAAUCACGGCAGCCGGAGAUCAGAACUCCGACGUCUGCCCGAGGGCUCCCCUGCCCAAUGGCUGCUCCUGGAUCCCCCAGGCGUCUGUGCAGCCUCCGCCCCGCCAGACACUGCCCUCGGUCAGGGUCCCGGGUUGCCCAUGGGUGCAGGAAGGACUGGGCAGCGUUGGUUGUCUCCUCUCCCUCUGAGUGAGCUUCUCCGCCCGCCUGCAGCUCUCCUGUCCCCUGCAGGGCGCCAGGCGCUGUUUCCUUCAGGGAAACAGGCUUUACAGUCCCAGGGUCAUUGUUGGGCACGUGGAGGUAGACACUCGCUAGCCUAACCCUUCAGGGUUCCUCCACGUAGCGUCACACCCACGCCUCCGGCUGGCCCGUCCUCUCACUGUGGAGUCAGCUCCUUACCCAUCAUGAUGGGAUUUAUGAGGCGCGUGUUUUCAGGAACAGGGCUCCCUCCCCCGGCUCCGGAGCACGCGGCACAGCCCUGCUGACGCCCAGAUCACCUGAUAUAACUGACAACCGUUAGGGUGAUGGGUGGCGGUUGCUAUGACGACCAUUUAGCCCUGAUCAGAGAGCAUCCCAGACAACAGGGCCAGCCCCCUGCACAGGUGGUAAAGCCAGCCUACAGCAGGGCCCUCGAGCUCAAGGCCGAGCGGGAGGUUAGGCGGUCAGGGUGAUGAGGACAGAAGCCGAGUUCCUGGGAGGAUGAAGGCAUGAUGCCGCUGCUCAGUCAGCCUGGAUGGUCGUGACUUCUCGGUACCUGGACUCAGUUGAAAUAAAGUCCUUUCCUCUCAGCUCCGUCGGGUUGUGGGGUCGGGGUGUAAUGACACCUAUGUGGUCCCAUCCCCGUUCCUGGCACUGAGCUCCCAACCCUGGGGGUACUUGGGCGAUGGAGGUGGGGGGGCCAUGUUUGGUUGUCAUGACAGCCCCUCCCACCCACAUCUGGGUUUAUACUAAUGGGGCGACUUUGCAAAAGCCCUAAGGAUGGGAGCCGUCUGCCAGUGGAGCCACAGCCACGUGACUAGAGGGUUGGACCUUCUCCGAGGUCCAGGGGAGGGUGAGCUGGUCACCAGUGGCCAGUGAUUUAACGGCUGCCUAAUGAAGCCUCUGCAGAAAACCCUCACCAAGGGGCCGAGAGCUUCCAGGUCAGAAUUUGGAGGUGCCGGGGCGAGGCGGGUAUUGCCCCUGGAGGACUCAUCUCUGCCCCUGCCCCGCCCUCUGCAUCCCUUCCACCCUGUUGUUUCUGAGUUGUGUCUUUUAUAAGGAACAGUCAGCUCUCUUCUGUCCAGCCAGUCGGUCAGAAGCACAGUGACGCUUGGGACUUGGGUGGUAUCUUGAGGCAAUAGUUGUGCAGGUUGAGCCCUUAUCUCUGUGGUCUGCACCAGCUGCAGGGGGAAAGUGUAAGUGAAUUAAUUCGUAGACCCCCAGUCACGUCUCAGAGAACUGCAGAGUUGCUUGCAUGGGAACCCACUUGGCUGGUUUAGAAAGUGUGUCUACACCAGCACUGGGCCACUGGAGAACAAAGUCUGCAGGGACCUUGGGGACCAGGGCCUUGGGGGGAGGGCCCCGGCCCAAGACAGAGAGAGGAGACCUUCCCCCUCAGUGCCCCCAGCUCCACCCUGGUCCUUUGCGGCUCCUCUGCCCCUCCAGUCUGACCCCCACCGACCACCCACUUAAACUAGCUACUUCAGGGAUCUUGAACAUCUGUGAGGGUUAGGUCUGGCUGAAUGUAACACAUGGGCAGAAAAAAAGGAAAAACCAUACAUGACUUAAACGAAAUGGAAAGUUGGUCCCUUCACUGAGCUAAGUCCAGUGGCAGAGGGUCGGGACAGAGUUGAUGGCUGCCUCGGCAGGGCCCUCUUGCUCCUCUGCCAUUUUUUUGACUUCGGCCUCAUGGCUGAAAAAGGCUGCUGUGAUACCAGCCAUCACUUCCACACACCACAGGCAGGAAUAGGGGGGUGGGGGGGGCUUUCACUCUCUUCUCUGAAGCCAUUGCACCCACUGGUUCGGGUUGAGUCCCAGGCUGUACCUGGCCACAGGGAGGGUGGGGAGUCCCGUCUUUGCUGGGGCAGAACGGGCCACACUACACAAUUGGAGUUCUUUUCCCCGGGGGAAGGGGUGUGCAUUCUGUACAGCAACCAGUGUCCUGUGUCUCCCUCCUAACUAGUAAUUAGCACCUCGCUUGCACACACACCAGACUAGUGCCACAUUACGCACUUCCCCGAGUCUCCCCCCAGCUGUGAUUGGCACCUCGCAUGCACACGCACAGUGAUGCUGCAGUGCACAGUUCACGCCCACCCGUGUGCCUAGUCCUCAUCUCAGCCCAGGCGGGAGGUCAGCUUAGUUUAGGUAACCAGCCGGGGUUACCAGCAAGCUGCCGGUGUGCAGAAGACUUGAACUAGCGUGUCUCACCCCGCUUCUCGCACCUGUUCUGGAGCGGGUCCGAGACAGACCUGGAGCAGCGCAGAGGCCCCCGGCCAUCUCCUCCCGCUGAGCCUGCCGGGGUGAGACAGGCCCAGGAAUAUCCGUGUGCUGUGGGCUCCGCCAAAAUAAAUAA
rnacentral:lncRNA from 1 species